rnacentral:rRNA from 1 species
GAUGAACGCUGGCGGCGUGCCUAAUACAUGCAAGUCGAGCGAAUGGAUUAAGAGCUUGCUCUUAUGAAGUUAGCGGCGGACGGGUGAGUAACACGUGGGUAACCUGCCCAUAAGACUGGGAUAACUCCGGGAAACCGGGGCUAAUACCGGAUAAUAUUUUGAACUGCAUGGUUCAAAAUUGAAAGGCGGCUUCGGCUGUCAUUUAUGGAUGGACCCGCGUCGAAUUAGCUAGUUGGUGAGGUAACGGCUCACCAAGGCAACGAUGCGUAGCCGACCUGAGAGGGUGAUCGGCCACACUGGGACUGAGACACGGCCCAGACUCCUACGGGAGGCAGCAGUAGGGAAUCUUCCGCAAUGGACGAAAGUCUGACGGAGCAACGCCGCGUGAGUGAUGAAGGCUUUCGGGUCGUAAAACUCUGUUGUUAGGGAAGAACAAGUGCUAGUUGAAUAAGCUGGCACCUUGACGGUACCUAACCAGAAAGCCACGGCUAACUACGUGCCAGCCGCCGCGGUAA